rnacentral:rRNA from 1 species
UCGAGCGAACAGACGAGGAGCUUGCUCCUCUGACGUUAGCGGCGGACGGGUGAGUAACACGUGGAUAACCUACCUAUAAGACUGGGAUAACUUCGGGAAACCGGAGCUAAUACCGGAUAAUAUAUUGAACCGCAUGGUUCAAUAGUGAAAGACGGUUUUGCUGUCACUUAUAGAUGGAUCCGCGCCGCAUUAGCUAGUUGGUAAGGUAACGGCUUACCAAGGCAACGAUGCGUAGCCGACCUGAGAGGGUGAUCGGCCACACUGGAACUGAGACACGGUCCAGACUCCUACGGGAGGCAGCAGUAGGGAAUCUUCCGCAAUGGGCGAAAGCCUGACGGAGCAACGCCGCGUGAGUGAUGAAGGUCUUCGGAUCGUAAAACUCUGUUAUUAGGGAAGAACAAAUGUGUAAGUAACUAUGCACGUCUUGACGGUACCUAAUCAGAAAGCCACGGCUAACUACGUGCCAGCAGCCGCGGUAAUACGUAGGUGGCAAGCGUUAUCCGGAAUUAUUGGGCGUAAAGCGCGCGUAGGCGGUUUUUUAAGUCUGAUGUGAAAGCCCACGGCUCAAGCCGUGGAGGGUCAUUGGAAACUGGAAAACUUGAGUGCAGAAGAGGAAAGUGGAAUUCCAUGUGUAGCGGUGAAAUGCGCAGAGAUAUGGAGGAACACCAGUGGCGAAGGCGACUUUCUGGUCUGUAACUGACGCUGAU